UUAAUUACAGGAAAUAGCACAGCGAAAAGCAGCAGCAUUCGUCUUUAAAUGGAUAUGGUUCCCCCCUUCUCCGCCCCCCUACCGGCUCUUCCUCUGCCCUGCGCAGACAGCCACCGCCCCUACCCUCCCCCUAAACUCUUUUAUUAUCAGUUGAAUCACGUCUCGUGCCAAGCAAAAGGUCAUUUCAGGUCAUCUUGGAGAUGAAAGGACGGGGUAACGUAUGUAAAGAGAGCCAGAGAUGCCGCCCAUUGCGAAAGUGCAUAUUCUGGCAACGUGCUGCAUCUGCGGGACUUUGGGAAACCGGCUCUGCUGGGGCAGAGAGGCGGGACUCAUCAGAGCCUCCAACAGAAGGGGUUGGGGGCAGAGGGCUGGCUGGUCCAGUCACCCUCUUGAGGGGGAUUUAGAACCACCAGGGUACGUGCGCAGUCUAUUUAGGGUGUUUCAGUAGCAAGCACAGACCUCUUUGUUUGGAGAUAAGAAAA